AGAGUUUGAUUAUGGCUCAGGACGAACGCUGGCGGCGUGCUUAACACAUGCAAGUCGAACGGAGCACCCUUGAUUGAGGUUUCGGCCAAAUGAUAGGAAUGCUUAGUGGCGGACUGGUGAGUAACGCGUGAGGAACCUGCCUUUCAGAGGGGGACAACAGUUGGAAACGACUGCUAAUACCGCAUGACGCAUGAUCGGGGCAUCCCGGACAUGCCAAAGAUUUAUCGCUGAAAGAUGGCCUCGCGUCUGAUUAGCUAGUUGGCGGGGUAACGGCCCACCAAGGCGACGAUCAGUAGCCGGACUGAGAGGUUGACCGGCCACAUUGGGACUGAGAUACGGCCCAG
rnacentral:rRNA from 1 species